ensembl:lncRNA
GGACAUUGCGGCAAAGUGGGGCGGGGCCUGCCAUGGGCGUGGCUUGAGAGGGCGUGGCCUGAUUGGAUGUUGCCUGAAGGGGGCGGGGCCUGAAGGGGUCGUGCACACCACCAGUACCACCAGUAGCACCAGUAGCACCAGUAGCACCAGGGCUCCCAGUACCACCAGUGCCACCAGUAUGACCAGUACAACUCAGUACAGCCCAGUGCCACCAGUACCACCAGUAUCACCAGUGCCACCAGUGCCUCCAGUGCUCCCAGUAUCACCAGUAUGACCAGUACCACCAGUACAACCCAGUACAACCCAGUGCCACCAGUAUCACCAGUAUGACCAGUGCUCCCAGUGCUCCCAGUAUCACCAGUAUCACCAGUACUUCCAGUAUCCCCAGUACCACCAGUGCCACCAGUAUGACCAGUACAACCCAGUACAACCCAGUGCUCCCAGUACCACCAGUAUGACCAGUGCCACCAGUACCACCAGUGCUCCCAGUGCUCCCAGUAUCAUCAGUGCCCCCAGUAUUGCCACCAGUGCUACCAGUAUCACCAGUGCUCCCAGUGCUACCAGUAUCACCAGUACCACCAGUACCACCAGUACCACCAGUGCCACCAGUAUGACCAGUACAACCCAGUAUCACCAGUACCACCAGUACCACCAGUGCUCCCAGUGCCACCAAUGCUCCCAGUAUCACCAGUAUCACCACCAGUAUCCCCAGUGCCACCAGUGCCACCAGUACAGCCCAGUACAACCCAGUGCCACCAGUGCCACCAGUACUACCAGGGCUCCCAGUACCACCAGUGCCACCAGUAUGACCAGUACAACCCAGUACAGCCCAGUGCUCCCAGUACCACCAGUAUCACCAGUGCCACCAGUGUCUCCAGGGCUCCCAGUAUCACCAGUAUCACCACCAGUACCACCAGUGCCACCAGUAUGACCAGUACAACCCAGUACAGCCCAGUGUCAGCAGUAUCACCAGUGCUCCCAGUAUCACCAGUACCACCACCAGUAUCACCAGUACUUCCAGUAUCCCCAGUGCCACCAGUGCCACCAGUAUGACCAGUACAACCCAGUACAACCCAGCGCCACCAGUGCUCCCAGUAUCACCAGUACCACCAGUAUCAGCACCAGUACCACCAGUACUCCCAGUACCACCAGUGCUCCCAGUAUCACCAGUAUCACCAGUGCUCCCAGUGUCUCCAGAGCUCCCAGUAUCACCAGUACCACCAGUAUGACCAGUACAACCCAGUACCACCAGUGUCAGCAGUAUCACCAGUGCUCCCAGUAUCACCAGUGCUCCCAGUAUCACCAGUGCCACCAGUAUGACCAGUACAACCCAGUACAGCCCAGUGCCACCAGUAUCACCAGUACUCCCAGUAUCACCAGUACCACCACCAGUAUGACCAGUACAACCCAGUACAGCCCAGUGCCACCAGUCCCACCAGUACCACCAGUAUCACCAGUGCUCCCAGUAUGACCAGUACCACCAAUACCUCCAGUAUGACCAGUACAGCCCAGUACAACCCAGUGCCACCAGUACCACCAGUAUCACCAGUGCUCCCAGUAUCACCAGUACCACCAGUGCUCCCAGUAUCACCAGUAUCACCAGUGCUCCCAGUGCCACCAGUGCUCCCAGUAUCACCAGUAUCACCACCAGUAUCCCCAGUGCCACCAGUACAACCCAGUACAGCCCAGUACUCCCAGUGCCACCAGUAUCACCAGUACCACCAGGGCUCCCAGUACCACCAGUACCACCAGUAUCAGCACCAGUACCACCAGUACUCCCAGUGCCACCAGUGCUCCCAGUACCACCAGUGCUCCCAGUGUCACCAGUGCUCCCAGUAUCACCAGUGCUCCCAGUACCACCAGUGCCACCAGUAUGACCAGUACAACCCAGUACAGCCCAGUGCUCCCAGUACCACCAGUAUCACCAGUGCUCCCAGUAUCUCCAGUGCUCCCAGUACCACCAGUACCACCAGUAUGACCAGUAUCACCAGUGCUCCCAGUGUCUCCAGGGCUCCCAGUACCACCAGUAUCACCAGUGCCACCAGUAUGACCAGUACAACCCAGUACAGCCCAGUGCCACCAGUACCACCAGUACCACCAGUGCUCCCAGUAUCACCACUGCUCCCAGUAUCACCAGUACAACCCAGUGCAACCCAGUACCACCAGUACCAUCAGUGCUCCCAGUAUCACCAGUAUCACCAGUACCCCCCAGUCCCUCCCAGUGCUCCCAGUGCCCCCAGUCCCAGUAUGCCCCAGUCUCCCCCAGUGCCCCCAGUCCCUCCCAUUUUCCCCAUCCCCCUCAGUGCUCCCAGUGCUCCCAGUGCUCCCAGUUCCAAUAUCCCAGUCCCUCCCAGUCCCUCCCAGUGCUCCCAGUCCGCCCCAGUGCUCCCAGUGCCCCCAGUCCCAGUAUGUCCCAGUCCCUCCCUGUCCCUCCCAGUGCUCCCAGUGCCCCCAUCCCUCCCAGUGCUCCCAGUGCCCCCCAGUCCAUCCCAGUCCAUCCCAAUCCCUCCCAGUGCUCCCAGUCCCUCCCAGUCCCUCCCAGUGCUCCCAGUGCCCCCAGUCCCAGUAUGUCCCAGUCUCCCCCAGUGCCCCCCAGUCCCUCCCAGUGCUCCCAGUGCCCUCAGUCCCAGUAUGUCCCAGUCCCUCCCAGUGCUCCCAGUGCUCCCAGUGCCCCCAGUCCCAGUCCAUCCCAGUCUCCCCCAGUCCCUCCCAGUGCUCCCAGUGCCCCCAGUCCCAGUAUGUCCCAGUCUCCCCCAGUGCCCCCCAGUCCCCCCCAGUGCUCCCAGUGCCCCCAGUCCCAGUAUGUCCCAGUCUCCCCCAGUAUCUCCCAGUGCUCCCAGUUUCCCCAUCCCUACCAGUGCUCCCAGUGCCCCCAGUCCAAAUAUCCCAGUCCCUCCCAGUGCUCCCAGUGACCCCCAGUCACUCCCAGUGCUCCCAGUGCCCCCAGUCCCAAUAUCCCAGUCCCUCCCAGUGCUCCCAGUGACCCCCAGUCACUCCCAGUGCUCCCACUGCCCCCAGUCCCAGUAUGCCCCAGUGCUCCCAGUGCCCCCCAGUCCCUCCCAGUCCCUCCCAGUGCUCCCAGUGCUCCCAGUGCCCCCAGUCCCAGUAUGUCCCAGUCUCUCCCAGUACCCCCCAGUCCCUCCCAGUGCUCCCAGUGCUCCCAGUCCCAGUCCCUCCCAGUCCCUCCCAGUGCUCCCAGUGCCCCCAGUCCCAGUAUGUCCCAGUCUCCCCCAGUGCCCCCCAGUCCCUCCCAGUGCUCCCAGUGCCCCCAGUCCCAGUAUGUCCCAGUCCCUCCCAGUGCCCCCCAGUCCCUCCCAGUACCUCCCAGUACCCACCAGUGCUCCCAGUGCCCCCAGUCCCAGUAUGUCCCAGUCUCUCCCAGUGCUCCCAGUCCCUCCCAGUACCUCCCAGUGCUCCCAGUGCCCCCCAGUCCCUCCCAGUGCUCCCAGUGCCCCCAGUCCCAGUAUGUCCCAGUCCCUCCCAGUACCUCCCAGUGCUCCCAGUGCCCCCAGUCGCAGUAUGUCCCAGUCUCCCCCAGUGCUCCCAGUCCCUCCCAGUACCUCCCAGUACCCACCAGUGCUCCCAGUGCCCCCAGUCCCAGUAUGUCCCAGUCUCUCCCAGUACCCCCAGUCCCUCCCAGUGCUCCCAGUGCUCCCAGUCCCAGUCCCUCCCAGACCCUCCCAGUGCUCCCAGUGCCCCCAGUCCCAGUAUGUCCCAGUCUCCCCCAGUGCCCCCCAGUCCCUCCCAGUGCUCCCAGUGCCCCCAGUCCCAGUAUGUCCCAGUCCCUCCCAGUGCCCCCCAGUCCCUCCCAGUACCUCCCAGUACCCACCAGUGCUCCCAGUGCCCCCAGUCCCAGUAUGUCCCAGUCUCUCCCAGUGCUCCCAGUCCCUCCCAGUACCUCCCAGUGCUCCCAGUGCCCCCCAGUCCCUCCCAGUGCUCCCAGUGCCCCCAGUCCCAGUAUGUCCCAGUCCCUCCCAGUACCUCCCAGUGCUCCCAGUGCC